GUCUAGAUAGUUUAUUUAGAAUAAUAAUUUGUGGUGUUAUAGGUGUAAUUGUACUCUGGAUC
rnacentral:tRNA from 1 species